UGUGAUCUAGGAGCCUCGGUCA
rnacentral:siRNA from 1 species